GAUGAACGCUGGCGGCGCGCCUAACACAUGCAAGUCGAACGGCACCCCUCCUCGGAGGGAAGCGAGUGGCGAACGGCUGAGUAAAACGUGGAGAACCUGCCCCCUCCCCCGGGAUAGCCGCCCGAAAGGACGGGUAAUACCGGAUACCCCGGGGUGCCGCAUGGCACCCUGGCUAAAGCCCCGACGGGAGGGGAUGGCUCCGCGGCCCAUCAGGUAGACGGGGGGGUGACGGCCCACCGUGCCGACAACGGGUAGCCGGGUUGAGAGACCGACCGGCCAGAUUGGGACUGAGACACGGCCCAGACUCCUACGGGAGGCAGCAGUGGGGAAUCUUGCGCAAUGGGGGGAACCCUGACGCAGCGACGCCGCGUGCGGGACGGAGGCCUUCGGGUCGUAAACCGCUUUCAGCAGGGAAGAGUCAAGACUGUACCUGCAGAAGAAGCCCCGGCUAACUACGUG
rnacentral:rRNA from 1 species